GAGCCCAGUGGACCCACCAAUAUAUGUCGACAGGCAGAUUCAUAGAAGCCCGGAUGGAGACCAUAAUUAAGUACUCAGCAGCACCACGACAAAGCUCGCCAGUAAAAUCAUUCCCCGACGACCCAGGGAACCCUAGGACUGUUGAUCCACCUUCUACCCACAAUCAGGUUCACGAGACCCGGGGGCGACCAUUAAG